UUAAAAAGUUAAUUGUUGAAUCAAUUUAAUUUGAAAUUAAAAUUUUAUAUUUUUUAUUAUUUAAAUAUAUUAUUAAAAAAAAAUAUUUUAAUUUUAUUAUUAUAAUAAGAAAAAAUUAAUUUUAUGAUAGUUUAUAGUAUUGUGAAAGAAAAUUAAUAAUUAUUUUUAAGAAAAAUUUAUUUUUUGUACCUUGUGUAUCAGGGUUUAUUAAAAAUCUUUAAAAAUUUAAUUUUCUCGAAUUUAAAAGAGCUAAAAAAUUAUUAUUAUUAAUGUAGAAUAAUUAUAUUUAAUAAUUUUUUAGUAAUGAAAUGUUAUUCGUUUUUAAAUAUAUCUAGUUUUUUAAGAAAAAAAUUUAAUUUUUUUAUUAUAAAUAUAAAGUUUAAUUAUAAAUUUUAUAUUAAUAAUAAAUAAUAUUUUUAGGGAUUAGCUUAAAAAUAUAAUUUUAUUAAAGUAAAUAAUUUGAUAUUUUUUUAGGAUUAGUAAUGUUCAUAAUUUAAAGUAUGUUAAAAUUUAAAUUUAAAAAUUAUAUAAUUUUUAUUUUUUAUAAGUAUUUUAUUAAAAUAUAAAUUCAAAUUUAAAAAAUUUAGGAAUAAUGAUAAAAUUAGUAUAAAAUAUUAUUUAUUAAUAAAAAUAAAUUAAAUAUUAAUUAAAGGAAUUCGGCAAAGUAAUUUUCACCUGUUUAAUAAAAACAUGUCUUUUUGUAAAUAAUUUAAAGUCUAGCCUGCCCAAUGAAAAUUUAAAUGGCCGCGGUAUUUUGACUGUGCUAAGGUAGCAUAAUCAUUAGUUUUUUAAUUAGAAGCUGGAAUGAAGGGUUGAAUGAAAAAUUAACUGUCUCUGAUUAAUUUGAUUAGAAUUUUAUUUUUAAGUUAAAAAGCUUAAAUAUUUUUAAAAGACGAGAAGACCCUAUAGAGUUUAAUAUAUAAAAUUUAUAAUUAAAUUUAGUAUUAAAUUUAAAGUAGUAGUUGUAUAUUUAAUUGGGGUGAUUUAAAAAUUUAUGAAACUUUUUAUUUAUGUUAAUAUUAAUUAAUAAAUUUAUGAUCCAAAAAUUUUGAUUAAAAGUUAAAUUACCUUAGGGAUAACAGCGUAAUUUUAUUAAAGAGUUCUAAUCGAAAAUAAAGUUUGCGACCUCGAUGUUGGAUUAAAAUUUAUAUUUGGUGUAGAAGCUAAAUAUUUAAGUCUGUUCGACUUUUAAAAUUUUACAUGAUCUGAGUUUAAACCGGUGUAAGCCAGGUUGGUUUCUAUCUUUAAAUAAUUAAAAUAUUUUAGUACGAAAGGACCAGAUAUU
rnacentral:rRNA from 1 species